rnacentral:rRNA from 1 species
UACGUAGGCAGCAAGCGUUGUUCGGAGUUACUGGGCGUAAAGGGCGCGUAGGCGGCCACGCACGUCCGUUGUGAAAUCGCCCGGCUCAACUGGGCGGGGUCAGCGGAUACGGUGUGGCUCGAGCAAGCUAGGGGGCAAUGGAAUUCCCGGUGUAGUGGUGGAAUGCGUAGAUAUCGGGAGGAACACCAGUGGCGAAGGCGGUUGCCUGGAGCUUUGCUGACGCUGAGGCGCGAAAGCGUGGGGAGCGAUCCGG